GAUGAAGAACGUAGCGAAAUGCGAUACGUAGUGUGAAUUGCAGAAUUCCGUGAACCAUCAAAUCUUUGAACGCAUAUUGCGCUCGAGGCUUCGGCCGAGAGCAUGUCUGCCUCAGCGUCGGUAUUACCCCUCGCUUCUCAACGCCUGGUUGAUGCCUGCCUGCCUUUGCAGUUGGCUAGAAGCGGAUCUGGCUUUCCCAAUUGCCUUUGGUAGUUGGGUCAGCUGAAGCACAGAGGCUUGAGCAAGGACCCUUAUUGGGCUUCAACUGGAUAGGUAGAACUGGUCUUAGGACCAACUACACGAAGUUGUUGCUUGUGGUCUUUUGUCUGGAGGCCAGCAGGAAACCUUUAUACCUUCGACCUGAGCUCAGGCAAGAUUACCCGCUGAACUUAAGCAUAUCAAUAAGCGGAGGA
rnacentral:misc_RNA from 1 species